CCUAUGCCUAAGCCUAAGCCUAUGCCUAAGGCCCUUAGACUGAGUCCAUAAGCCUAA
rnacentral:sRNA from 1 species